ensembl:lncRNA
UUACUCAGCCUUGAAGAAGCAUUCUUUGUGCCAGGAUAAUUUCUUUAUCAAGAAGUAGAUUUUUCUUUCAUGUCCCACAACAAAGACAUACAGAACUUAGGGAAAUUACUUGAUCACAAUGAAUUAAAAAAUACUGACCAAUAACAAAUUAUAGAAAGCACUCAAACAUGUAUAGAUGUGCUCGGUAUGACUUGCAUUAAUAUAACACUGGAAAAACUUGGUGACUCUAAGAAAAGCAAAAUUGCACAGUAAAGCAGAUACAAGAAUGUCUGUUAACACUACAUGAUGAUGUGGCUGCGAAGAAGUCUUAAGUCUUUACAUAAGUCAUUUGCUACUUUCUUAUCUGUCUUCCAUGCCAGCCAAAGAAAUCUUCUAGACUAGAGCAUGAAGUCAAACAACAAUCUAAUGAUGUUGUUUUAACAAUUGCUCUCAUCUUUUAUUCCCUCUGAAAGAGUAAUACCAAAAGAAAUCCAUACAGAAUUAUGGGUUGGCACGCCUUCUUGUGCUGCAAGGAUAGAAGGUAACUAUGUCACGACAUAAAGUGUAAGGCCCUGGAAUGCAUUUCAGAUAAUAGGACUAGGAUAGAAGCCUCUAGAACUGGCUGCUAUCAUCUUUUUAUCUUUACACUUUGCUUAAAAAUGGAUAAGCAAAUAAUCAUAUCCAUAUUUACUUAUCCAUAAAAACAGACUGAACAGGAACAGUUCUGAACUGCUCAGAUUAAUUUUGAGAGAUCACUAGAAGAAAGUCUUUUUGCCUAAUUAUCAUUAGGAUGCUCACUAACUUUGUAGCCUUUCCUCAUUAUGCCCAUGAAUUUUUUUUCUGGAUUAGUAAUUUUUCUCAUGAACAUUUAUCAUAAUAUGAGAAAUUGAAAAGAGUUCAGAAUUAAACUGGAUUCUCAUGCACAUUUUCUAUGUAAAAUAGAGCAAAAAAUGUCUCUGAAAUACUACCCUUUUAUGAUGGACUAACUAGAAAAGGACAGGACAUAUUUUGCUUUUUGCAAUGCUUGUAAUUUCAGAAUUGUAAUGAGAAAGAGAAUGGAUGGAAGAUUAAUGUGCUUCUAAGCUGAGAUAAAAAGAGUUUAAUGGAUUUCUCUACAUUUGUUUUGAAGAAGACAUAGAAGAAAAGAAUAACCAAAUAAACUUUUAGAAGUGUUCAUAGUUUCUGCAAGAGUAAAGCGUGGCUAUACAGAAAGAAAGGACACUGGCUGUCACGACUUCGACUUCGCAAGCCCAGGUGGCCUUUUAGCUCACGAAGUUGCUUUCCUCCUCACUCAUUCACCCAUUAUUCCAUCAGCAGCAAUUCACAUCACUAGCUGCUGCAUGGAGAGGAUUAAAUUCUCAAAACAUGCCACAGUGCACAUAGAAAUUCACCAGAUGUAGAGAGCACUAUGAGUUGACCUGGCAAAGCAACAAACACUUCCAUCGCACUGGGGCUGUGUGAAUGGUACGAAUAAUUUAGUGACAGAACGUAAGUGGUUUCUGUAUUCAGAAAUAGUGUCCAAGUAAACUCCAUCUUUCUGUAAACCCAUACACUAUCAGAAAAUAGGCAUUGCAUCAUUAUUUGCAAAUAUAAUUCUGUUCCUCUGCUAGUUCAGGAG